AUUGAACGCUGGCGGCAGGCCUAACACAUGCAAGUCGAACGAGUGGCGGACGGGUGAGUAAUGUCUGGGAAACUGCCUGAUGGAGGGGGAUAAAUACUGGAAACGGUAGCUAAUACCGCAUACCAUCGGAUGUGCCAAGAUGGGGUUCACUAGUAGGUGGGGUAAAGGCUAACCUAGGCGACGAUCCCUAACUGGUCUGAGAUGAUGACCAGCCACACUGGAACUGAGACCCGGUCCAGACUCCUACGGGAGUCAGCAUUGGGGAAUAUUGCACAAUGGGCGCAAUCCUGAUGCAGCCAUUCCGCGUGUAUGAAGAAGCCCUUCGUGUUGUAAAGUACUUUCAGCGGGUAGGCGUUACCCGCAGAAGAAGCACCGGCUAACUCCGUGCCAGCAGCCGCGGUAAUAC
rnacentral:rRNA from 1 species